UCCCGUGUGGCUCAGUUGGUAGAGCAUGGUGUUUGCAACGCCAGAGUUGUGGGUUCGAUUCCCACGGGGGGAA
rnacentral:tRNA from 1 species